AAGACUAUACUUUCAGGGAUCAUUUCUACAGUUUGUUAAAAGUAGAGUUUUGAUUAAAAAAAGUGUCUUGGCUGGGCACAGUGACUCACGCCUGCAGUCCCAG
rnacentral:snoRNA from 10 species